rnacentral:pre_miRNA from 1 species
AAGGUCAUGACUCUGAAUCUGUCCUCAGGGUGCUGCAGGCAAAGCCGGGGAGCCGGGCAGAGAUGUAAGUCGGGGAGCUG